rnacentral:rRNA from 1 species
UACGUAGGGCGCAAGCGUUGUCCGGAAUUAUUGGGCGUAAAGAGCUCGUCGGUGGCUGGUCGCGUCUGCCGUGAAAGCCCGCAGCUUAACUGCGGGUCUGCGGUGGAUACGGGCCGGCUAGAGGUAGGUAGGGGCAAGUGGAAUUCCUGGUGUAGCGGUGAAAUGCGCAGAUAUCAGGAGGAACACCGGUGGCGAAGGCGGUUCUCUGGGCAUUACCUGACGCUGAGGAGCGAAAGCGUGGGGAGCGAACAGG